AUUGAACGCUGGCGGCAGGCCUAACACAUGCAAGUCGAGCGAGCGGCGGACGGGUGAGUAAUGUAUGGGGACUGCCCGAUAGAGGGGGAUAACUCCUGGAAACGGUAGCUAAUACCGCAUACUAUCGGAUAACCCAUAUGGGAUUAGCUAGUAGGUGAGGUAAUGGCUCAACAAGGCAAAGAUCCGUAGAUGGUUUGCGAGGACGACCAGCCACACGGGUAUGGAGACACGGCCCAGACUCCUACGGAGGCAGCAGUGGGGAAGGUUGGACAAUGGGGGAAACCCUGAUCCAGCCAUCCCGCGUGUAUGAUGAAGGUCUUCGGGUUGUAAAGUACUUUUGGCAGAGAAGCGGGAUCUGCAGAAUAAGCACCGGCUAACUACGUGCCAGCAGCCGCGGUAAUAC
rnacentral:rRNA from 1 species